rnacentral:lncRNA from 1 species
UGAAAGCUGUAGCUUCCCCUAGUGGCGUGGUGGGGUUAAUCGGCGAACAUCCCCCAACGGAGCUCAUGCUCGAAGGGGGCUUGACAUGUUCAACCCCGUCUCCGGCGAUUGGCUCCUCGGCCACCUCAGCCGCGUGGUCCUCGACGACGACGCCCUCGCGCUCCUCCUCCUCCUCCUCCGCCUCGACAAGACUCUCUCCAGCCUCUCGCUCCACCUCCUCGCACACUCCUGCAGGUUUGCCUUUUUUUUUUCUUACAAUCUUCCUAGGGUAGAGGUUCAUCUGUCUGGCUUCCUUUUCCCUCGCAGAAAGAAAAACGGCAGAUCGUCUUAGAUUAGAUUGAUUUGAGCAGGAGCAACAAGAUCCUUUUUGGGACAAUCCUUGGUCUUAAUUUAGAUAAUUAGGCUCCUCAAUUUCGCUGUAGGGUGUUAUGACAUUCGUCUUCUUUUCUGGAAGAGCGCAACACUGAUCAUGGAUCAGGACUGAACAUGGAAUUUUUAGACAACAGAUUUUUUGUGGUAGAUUCUUGUUUAACACGAGUUAGGAAUGUGUUCUUAAUGUUUGUCUGUCAGAAAAAUUCAGUUAUACGUCAGCUGACUUCUACAACACCACUUCUUAUUGCGAUAAAAAAAAUAAGGAGGGACUGAGCUUUCUCCAAUUCUCAAAUUCAUGUGAAUGCCAACAGAUACAAUCCCAUUUAUUCUAAAAAAGGAAAAGGUUAAUAGGACAGCAAAAGCUAAUUUCAGGUUUGAUGUCUUUUGCUCCUGUAUACACUAUAUUGGCAAUCAAGCCAGCAAAUCAAAAGGAGAGAAAGGAAAUGUGUGACCAAAGGAGUCAAGCAAAAGCACACCGAGUAAAUCACCAACGUUGAAGUUUCAGUAUCUGUUUUUUGAGCUGGACUAAGUCUGAUAACUCUUCUUGUAAUCAGCACUGGGGAAGAUCUUUGGGUGGUGGAAUUAGAGUCUCACUAGGUCCUUUCCCAUUGUCCACGACAAAGACCAUCUUGAGUCCCCAUGACGUGUGCACCUCGAAAUGGCAAUGCAUAAACCACACACCUGGAAUAGAACAACAACAUAUCAAUCAACUCCUUUUAGGAAGCAGUAGGGUAUUAUUAUCUGAAGAAAUGUAGGAUUGAAAUCUCUACCUGGGUUGUCUGCCCUGAAUCUGAUUGCUGUCCAGCCUCCAGUAGGGACUCCAAUGGUGUUUCUCUCAACGGGGUCGAUGAGGUUAAAUGUGGAAGGGGAGGUUUUGGGGUUGUAAUUCCCAACUCCCCGCCCAACGACAAAAAAGUUAAAUCCAUGCAGAUGGAUCGGGUGGCUUUCUGUUGAUAUGAUCCCUGUAUCCUGGAGUAUGACUUGCACUGAAGCAUUAUAUGGCAGCCUAUAAACCCUGGUUCCUUUCAUGGUUUGAAGGUUUUUGGGGCCGCUUCCUGUGUAGUUGAACUUGUGUGGUGGUGUUGCUGGGAAGUCUUCGGUGAAGACCCCUGGAAUGCUGUAGUAACGGGCUUGGAGAAUUGGGGUGGAUGGCAUAACGAAUGUCGAAUUGUUGAUUGUGCCCACCACUCUGGUCCCGUUAAUGCAGUUUGCGCAUGGAUUGACACCCACACCAAUGGUAAAGAAAAGCGAGUGGUCUACUGUCUGUGGCACAUUGGCUGGGUACUCCUUCGAGUUGAGGCUCCGGAGCGACUCAGAGAAUUUUGAUGCAAUGGGGGUGGCAUUCUGUGGUGGUGGCUUGACGAGAGUGAGGCGUGCUGUGGCAGAGACAGUGUUAACAUAGUGCAAGGUAGCAGUGCCGGUUUUGUUGUCAACUUGUAGUGGAGCAUCCAGGAAGGGAGAGACUGAGAAAAGGUAACGGCCAGCACUUUGGUCAGCAGUGACGAGGACGUUGGUGGUCUGGCCUGGAGUGAUGAGCAGGAUAUCGGUUUUAUAUGGCUUGGUAUAGACUGCAUCAACCUCAACCACAGUUAGUCCGUGCCCGGCAAUCUUGAAGAAUAGGUUGUCAUUCAGACCAGCGUUGAUGAUCCGGAGCAUGUAUGUCUUGCCAUUUUCGACAUCGAGAUUGAAUCCAUCUGCAUAAAACAUUCAUCAGGGAAGCAGUUUUUCACUCUAUAAUGGAAAAUUAUAGACUUUGCAAUAACAAGAUGUAGUAGCACCUUCAUUCAUAUACCUUGGGAGGAGGCACAAUCAGACAUCGGACCAGGGUGGCCAUUGAUGGUGUGGGAAUCAGAUAUAUUGGGUCCUACUCCUAGUUGCAUGGCCUGGUUCAUUACACUCUCUGUAUCAGCUUUCCACCAUUCACCUGCAGCGCAUCAUCAAGCAAUUUCAGUGCUGAAUGGGUUAUUCUCGAUUAAUAGCAAUUAUGAGGAUCAAUUAUACAUAUACCUAGGACAACAACUGCCUCCUUGUGAGGAGCAGGAAAGGGGUAGGGUACUCCAAGCUUGGGCAGUAUGACAAUAGCACCAUGGACGGUGGCCCGCAGCCAGUUGAUAUGGGCAUGCCAUAGGAGCGUACCACGUUGGCCAGUAACGGUGAAAUUAUACAGAAAGCUGCUCCCUGGCUGGAUUGGGCACUGUGUAAUGUAGGCUGGUCCAUCAUACCACCCUGUCCGGAUUUGCCUUACUCCAUGCCUGAUUAUGAUUUAGUUAGAAAGUUAUAUACGUAUGUGUGCUGCAUAAAUAUGAGGUAUGAAUUUUCUUUUAUUUUGCCUGUCUACGGAAAGGAUGUGUCUUGGUUGAAAAAAUGGAAAGGAUGUGUGGUUCCUUAGAUGAAUGCAAAGGUAAAACAAUAUUCCUUGUAACGCUUCACUGGCAUAACCUUUUUCCUUCUUCUUUUGCAGCAAAUGAAAAAUUCUCAUGCGUCAACAACAUGCCAGAAAGAUUGAGGCUGUCUAUAUGUGUGAGGGCAUGCAGUUGCCACUUUGAGGUGGCAGUUUUAUGCUAUAAAUUGCAGCUGAAGCAUGGAAUGUCUUACCAG